rnacentral:rRNA from 1 species
GAUGAACGCUGGCGGCGUGCCUAAUACAUGCAAGUCGAGCGAACAGACGAGGAGCUUGCUCCUCUGACGUUAGCGGCGGACGGGUGAGUAACACGUGGAUAACCUACCUAUAAGACUGGGAUAACUUCGGGAAACCGGAGCUAAUACCGGAUAAUAUAUUGAACCGCAUGGUUCAAUAGUGAAAGACGGUUUUGCUGUCACUUAUAGAUGGAUCCGCGCCGCAUUAGCUAGUUGGUAAGGUAACGGCUUACCAAGGCAACGAUGCGUAGCCGACCUGAGAGGGUGAUCGGCCACACUGGAACUGAGACACGGUCCAGACUCCUACGGGAGGCAGCAGUAGGGAAUCUUCCGCAAUGGGCGAAAGCCUGACGGAGCAACGCCGCGUGAGUGAUGAAGGUCUUCGGAUCGUAAAACUCUGUUAUUAGGGAAGAACAAAUGUGUAAGUAACUAUGCACGUCUUGACGGUACCUAAUCAGAAAGCCCGGCUAACUACGUG